CGUAGGUGGCGAGCGUUGUCCGGAAUUACUGGGUGUAAAGGGCGUGUAGGCGGGAAGACAAGUCAGAUGUGAAAUACCGUGGCUUAACCACGGGGCUGCAUCUGAAACUGUAUUUCUUGAGUGUCGGAGAGGAAAGUGGAAUUCCCAGUGUAGCGGUGAAAUGCGUAGAUAUUGGGAGGAACACCAGUGGCGAAGGCGACUUUCUGGACGAUAACUGACGCUGAGGCGCGAAAGCGUGGGGAGCAAACAGGAUUAGAUACCCUGGUAGUCCACGCUGUAAACGAUGGAUACUAGGUGUGGGAGGUAUCGACCCCUUCCGUGCCGCAGUUAACACAAUAAGUAUCCCACCUGGGGAGUACGGCCGCAAGGUUG
rnacentral:rRNA from 1 species